CCUACGGGUGGCAGCAGUGAGGAAUAUUGGUCAAUGGGCGGAAGCCUGAACCAGCCAAGUCGCGUGAGGGAUUAAGGCCCUACGGGUUGUAAACCUCUUUUGCCGGGGAGCAAGCGUCGGUUCGCGACCCCGCGCGGAGAGUACCCGGAGAAAAAGCAUCGGCUAACUCCGUGCCAGCAGCCGCGGUAAUACGGAGGAUGCGAGCGUUAUCCGGAUUUAUUGGGUGUAAAGGGUGCGUAGGCGGGAUGCCAAGUCAGCGGUAAAAAUGCGGGGCUCAACGCCGUCCGGCCGUUGAAACUGGCGUGCUUGAGUGGGCGAGAAGUAUGCGGAAUGCGUGGUGUAGCGGUGAAAUGCAUAGAUAUCACGCAGAACUCCGAUUGCGAAGGCAGCAUUCCGGCGCCCUACUGACGCUGAGGCACGAAAGCGUGGGUAUCGAACAGGAUUAGAUACCCGUGUAGUC
rnacentral:rRNA from 1 species